UGCACCAGUCACUGAGCGCCGGCGACGACAGCGUGCCGGCUGCCGUGGCUCGGCGGCGGGCGAGCGCGAAAGUGAGGCCCCAUUGGGUGAAAGCGAAAGCAGCAUGGUGGGGGUCACGGCUAGCGCGCCAAUCGAUGCGCGCCGUUGUCGUCCCUCCGACGGGCGCACGCUACCUCUCUAUGUUUCUUUCCUUCUCUGACUGUUAUGUCUAUCCAGCUCACACUCACACCGGCGCUGCAUAUACGAGCGCGCGUUUUACUUUUCGAAGCCGGCGAGGAGGCUUGCGAAUAAUCCUCGAUAUGCGUGUGUGCGUAUAUAGAGGAAUAUAUGUGUGAUACUACAGGGUUUCGACGUAUCUUUCGAACUUAUGAACAAAUCUUAAUGAGAUAAUACUCUAUAAAUUAAAAAUUGAUUUUUUUACCGAAUUCAAAUUUCAUCAUAAAGGGAAAGUAGAUUGAACGAUUUGAAAGGAAACACUAGAGACACGGAAACUUGUGGAAUUAACAUAGUUAGAAAUGGCGAUCGUGAAUCAAGGGAACAAAUAUAGUGUUGAAUUCCUCCUUUUUUUUUAUGCCUUUAUGGUACGGUUUCGUAUCGACCGUAUGAGAACAUUUCAAUCUCGUUACAUCGUGUCACAUAAAAAACCUUUCAGUGUCGAGUAUGGUGUACCGUUGAAAGUUUUCGUGAGUUUCUCUGUCGGUUCGUUUUAACUAUUUUCGAUGUAAUUAUUUUUCGACCAAGAACAGAGAACGUUCUAAAAAUGUUUCUUCGAAAUGUAUCGCGUGUUUUUGCGGUCAGUAAAUAUGGUGCUCGGGUGACAGUAUACACUACGUUCACUACAGUUCUUUUUUCACGAAUGUAACUUUUGUCGUGUGUACCUUUGCUUCGAGGGAUCACAGGGUAUGAAACAGCUCUGUGCUUCACAAGGUGUAAAUAUUUACGUCUCUGGCCCUUGGGUAUAUUACAUCGAAAUUCUAGAGAAAACGGUCGUUUGUUCUUUUUGCGUCGCAAAUUGAACCUAUGCGACAAUUUGUGUAUUUUUGCAACGUGGCUUUUUACGCAGUUCGUAUCUUAAUAUUGUAUGCUACAUAAAUUUCAAUGAUAUAUCGAGUAAUAUUCAUUUGUGACGCAAUCAUAAGUGUUUUUCAAUAUUAUGUUUGUGUGGAUGCGUUUGUGUUGUUUGUGACAUCGAUGUCGACAUUCAAGUGAAAGUACAUUUAGAGACUAAUUCGGCCAUAUUGAAUUUUAAUCGAAACCGUUAUUUCAAAUGUGCUAUGUAUCUGAUUCAUAUUUUGAAUAUUUUCCGUAUCGUUUUUGAAUCAUUUUAUUCAUUUUUGAAAAAGAAUUCAACCAUUUUUUCAUUUUAAUCAAGAUUGACAGAUGCCGAUGACAUGUAUAUGUAAAAUUUCUUGGAAGGCUCACCCGAUACGCGUCUCGGCGAGAGAGCAGCCGCGUCAUCGAAUUUCAAUCGGGCCAUGGAAUCGAACAGUUUCGUCAGAUGCUUGGCCACCACCUCGGGCUGAUUUCCAUUCGACAGGAUGUCCAACAGAUCGCUGGACGAAACGAAGUAGAACCUCGGGAACGCCAAACGUUUCGUCUCCAAGUAUUCGGCCAACGCUUUCUCGCAGAGGACCAAUUCCUUUUCGAGGAUGUCCAGGGAGGACGCAAGCCCAUCUUUAUUCGUCGCUUCGAUUACGUUCAACGUCCUCCCCAGUUCCUCCGUCAUUUGCUUGAACUCCUUGUCGAUCCUGUCGAAUCUCUCGGCAUCCGUGGGCAAUUGCCUGCGUAUAUCCUCGGACGAGGUGAAGAUACUCUCCAGAUGCGUCCAAGUUCGUUGCACCUCGAACCAUAUCGUGGUCACUUGAUCCGCGAUGCUCAACUUCCGCUGCCAACUGGACACCUCUUCCAGAAAAUGGGCUAUGAACUUGGAGAGUUUCGAUCAGUUCCUCGCUGGCUCUUAUCAAGGUGGCGCCGGUUCGAGCGUGAAUUUCUUUCUCGAACUCCAUUUUCGACCAGGUGGCGUUCAAUUCCUUCAUGUACCUCUCCAUUGACAUCUCCUUCACGGCUUUGUCAACGAUGUUCUUCACUUCCUCCUCGCAGUCGUGCAGAUUCAGCUCGAGAAGAUCGGCCAAUGUGGUAGACUCGUCCAUGACGAAUUUUACCUUAAGCACACUCUUCGUUGGCUAUUCACGUUUCUUUUGUCGUUCGAAAGCUCGAAGUGUUGAGUGAACGAGUUUGAAAAAA